CUCUCCCUCCCUUGGGGCCCUCUUCCCUUCUUCAGAUCUAUUCCCUUUUUAAUAUUUGAUGAUGGCCGACUACACCCCCCUCCCCUAGUGAUCUCGUCUGAUCGAUGCAUUUCUUUUCUUUUCCUUCUCUUGCUUUUCCUUUAUCUCUCUGUCUGCUUUUCUUCCCCUCUACUCUCUCUCCCUUCUCUUUUUCUCUCCUUCCUCGUCCCCCUCUCUCUGUUUUCCUGCUUCUCUCUCUCUCACUAUCUUCUCUACCUCUCUCUAGCUAUUCUAGCUGCUGGACUAUUGAUUCCGACUAGGAGCUGAGUGCUUGUUUCUCCAUUCCUCUUGUAUCUCUUCUCUUUUUCGACAUCAUGAUUGGGUCAUUGCCGGCCCUUCUUAACCGUUGGCCCUUCUCUCUCUCCCCACUGGAUCCUCUCCCUUCCU
rnacentral:lncRNA from 1 species